rnacentral:rRNA from 1 species
AGAGUUUGAUCAUGGCUCAGGAUGAACGCUGGCGGUAUGCUUAACACAUGCAAGUCGAACGAAAUCUUUAGGGAUUUAGUGGCGGACGGGUGAGUAACGCGUGAGAAUCUGCCUUCAGGUUCGGGACAACCACUGGAAACGGUGGCUAAUACCGAAUGUGCAGCAAUGUGAAAAAUUUAUUGCCUGAAGAUGAGCUCGCGUCUGAUUAGCUAGUAGGUGUGGUAAGAGCGCACCUAGGCGACGAUCAGUAGCUGGUCUGAGAGGAUGAUCAGCCACACUGGGACUGAGACACGGCCCAGACUCCUACGGGAGGCAGCAGUGGGGAAUUUUCCGCAAUGGGCGAAAGCCUGACGGAGCAAUACCGCGUGAGGGAGGAAGGCUCUUGGGUUGUAAACCUCUUUUCUCAAGGAAGAAAAAAAUGACGGUACUUGAGGAAUAAGCAUCGGCUAACUCCGUGCCAGCAGCCGCGGUAAUACGGAGGAUGCAAGCGUUAUCCGGAAUGAUUGGGCGUAAAGCGUCCGCAGGUGGCUAUGUAAGUCUGCUGUUAAAGAGUCUGGCUCAACCAGAUAAAGGCAGUGGAAACUACAUGGCUAGAGUGCGUUCGGGGCAGAGGGAAUUCCUGGUGUAGCGGUGAAAUGCGUAGAGAUCAGGAAGAACACCGGUGGCGAAAGCGCUCUGCUAGGCCGCAACUGACACUGAGGGACGAAAGCUAGGGGAGCGAAUGGGAUUAGAUACCCCAGUAGUCC